rnacentral:lncRNA from 1 species
CAUUUUCUACAAGACCCCAAGAGAUGGACUUUCCUCUCCCCUUCCUCCUUUUAGAAAUGGCAUCCUUCAUCUCUGUCUAGGCAGGCCCAAUUAUCCAGAUACUUGGGGCUCCAAUAGGGUCUGAGUCAUUGGAACCAGGAACACCUGGCUGAAACAUGCCACAUAAUUAGAUUUUCUUUUUCUUUACCUUUUCUUUCUUAUUUUUAUAAGAGGCCCGGAAUUAGCCUCUUCGACUGGGGCGGAGUAGCUGGGGUGUGGGAAAGGAACACCUUCAUACAACUUCCAGCUUUCAGCCCCUUGGAGAGAUUUCCAAAUUCCCCAGAGCCUCUAGGACUUCCUUUCCUCGAUCUCUCGGCCACCUCCUCCUCCUUCUCCGAUCUGUUUUUUUUUCCCUCCUCCCACUGUCUUCUCUAUGGUUUAAUCAAAGUUCAGCGACUCCACUUGCCUCUCCUCUCAUUUCUUUCGGAAAGGGGAAACCAGACGACCCAGCGGCCACGGGACGAGUCGCCCCAACUCAACCCCAGCAGGACGCUGGAGGGGCCUCCCUUGCCCACCUCUCUUCGCUGGCACUGGCCUCCUGCACCCGGGUCUGCAGUCCCUCCGCCAUCUCACAAGUGUGCAGCCGCUAGGCCUGGGGGAUCCGAAUGACUGGGGCUGGAUAGGAAUGCCUUCGUGUUUCCCAAGACCCCCGGGCCUGCUCCACAAAGUUUGAAGGGUGGGUACACCCCGACCCAGGCAAGUUACUCCCCCAAACCCAUGACUGACUAAUCUGAUAUGACAAAAGCCCAUGAUGGAUUUGGUAUAUGUUAAUUCACAAUGCCCUUUCCUCCAGAAUUUAACUAUAAGUUAAUACACACCGGAAACCACGCGCAUGCACGCUCCUUAAUGGGCUUAGGUAUUAGCGAGUCCUAACGAUGCAUACAAAUGUGCUCUGCGCUCUGUAGACCCCUCAAGAUUUAUGGGCCUUGAGCUCUCUGAAGCUGUAAACAAGGAGAAAAAAAAAAGAGAAAGCGAAAGCGACUGGGGGGAAGAGACAGAGGCCUGACUCGCCCCUCCAGGUUUUGGAGAGAAGGGAUUCUUUAUGUAUUUUCCUUUCCUUGCAAGCUCGGAGCCCCUGUUUUAAGAAGGAGGCCAAAUGUGCAGGCUCAGGCCAAGCAGCAGAGAUGAAUGAGGUGAUGACCACAGCCUUGAUCCGGCAGGAGCUCAGAGAUGCCCGGGAAGACGGGGGGCCCGAAUGGAAGCAGAAAAACACUUAUGGCCGCUGGGAAGUUGGGAGAGCCAGGCUGGGACUCCGGCAGGCCCAGGGAAAGUUCCCCUUCUAGGCUCUUUAUUAAAAAAUUUAAAAGGAGGAGUUGAGGCGCCUUGAAUUUUCCUUCGCGAGUUUGGAGACCAGCCGAUUUUUCACGAAGCAAGCAAAGACCGCGGUCCCGGAUCCUGCAACAUAUACCUCAUUUUCUCCAGGCCUCUCCACUUGCCCGAGCUCUCAGCCACCAGGAGACAGACGGAAGGGGCUUCUGGGCUGUGUUGGGAGCGGGCAUUGUCCCCUACCCACUCCUGCACAGUUUCCCAAAGUCCAGCCACCUCCGACCCUCCUUGGGGGAAAAAAUACCAGUACCCAGACACCUCUGCACCCUGUUAUAUGACUGGGCUUGCUUCAGGAAUAUCUUACAAAGAAGAAGGAGGAGGAGGAGGAACGGCUUGGAGUCAUGUUUACAUCUAGUUCUACUGAUCCGUUCACAUCUGGAGAGUUUAUUUAUAACUCCCUCUAUAACUCUCUGUUUGGAGGCACUGGUGGCUCUACUGACAGACUGAUGUCUAGGAAAUAUUGCUCUAUGUCUAAUGGUACCUAAAUGUGCUGUGGUUGUAUUUACAGAUUUACGUUUGAGGGAAAUAUAAUUAUUUCCAUUGUA